rnacentral:lncRNA from 1 species
AGCCAGCAGUGUCUGUGAGACCAGGCAGGGCUGCUGAAGUCCUACAGAGCAGCAGUGUUGAUGGACCAUCCUUGCCUUUCCUCUGCAUCCUCCUGGGAUUGGCCCCCGAGGUACCAGAAGGAUUUUGUUGAAGGCCCCCCGGACAGACCACCCGGCUCUGUACAGGGACCUGCUGCGGACCAGCCGCGUGCACUGGAUCGCGGAGGAGCCGCCUGCCGCUCUGGUCCGGGACAAAAUGAUGGAGUGCCACUUCCGGUUCCGCCACCAGAUGGCGCUAGUGCCCUGUGUACUGACCCUCAAUCAAGAUGGCACCGUUUGGGUGACGGCUGUGAAGGCUGUGCGGGCCCUCGCCCCGGGACAGUUUGCCGUCUUCUACAAAGGGGACGAGUGUCUGGGCAGCGGGAAAAUCCUGCGCUUGGGGCCAUCUGCCUACGUACUCCAGAAAGGCAAGAGCAGGUCCAGAGCGGCCACCGAGGGCCCCAGCGAUGGCAACGGCCCAGGCCGGGACCCCACGCCCUGAAGGAGGCAGAGCUGCUGCUGAGCGCCCAGGAGCAGAUAGCGGAGCAGAGCCUGGGGUGGAGCAGGCCAGGGGGAGCUGGGCUGAGUCCACCGCCCCAGUUCCGUCCAGGCUGGCCACGGUACCGGAAAGCCUCCGGUACCGGAAAGCCUCCAGAGCCCGGGAGAGCCCCAGAAAGCCCUGCCCUGUCAUCUCCAAGUGGGUGCUCUGGCCAGAAGGACGUGCUGCCUAGUGGGCGGGUCCGAGCAGCCCGUUGAUAGAGUUGCUCUUCCCUGCCGCACGAAGGUUCCCCCUCGCAAGCACGUGGGCGGCCUGCCAAGGAGGCUGCAGGGACGAUCCAAUAAAACGUGUGUCUGGGACA